UGAAGUCUGGUCUAUGAUGCAUUUUAGUGUCUGAAUGAAACAUGAAGCAUUUCAAAGCAAUCGUCACUACCACUGAGACCACACUCUU